rnacentral:lncRNA from 1 species
GCAAAAAUUUCCUUGGUUCCAGGUUCUGAAUACGUGUUAAUCCAGCAUCUGUUUUGACCCUGUAGAUGAAUUUAUCCCUAGAUGUUUAUACAGGGAAUGAGGCAUACCAUUGAUAGUUUGAAUCAAACCAGUAGAGGACGCCACCGUCGAUUAUGGUGUCGAGCAACGGAACUGCAGUGAUCUGGCAGUGUGACUAUUGACCUCCUUGACACCAUUCACGUUCGUCGCUCUGAACCCACUCGGCAGACAAGUAACUCUUUAUCCUUAAAUUCCAUGUAUAGCUCUGUAUCCUUAAAUUCCUUGCACUAUUAUCAUGGCCGUUGAAUACAUCAUGUAACCCCACAUAAAUGGCUAGGAACCAAAUAAAUUUAAUUUAUCUUCAAUACCCUCUCCAAAAUAUUUCUAUUGUUUGUAUUAGGAAGGAUCUAUAAGAGUUGCUGCUAUAUAUAUGUUGUGAACCCGCCCAUGUAGUUAAUAUUUGGUUCUUCAUUUUUUUUCUUAGUUCAAGCCCCUGAUAUAAUGUUGUUAAAUUAUGAACUGACUAUAGUUCAAGAUAUAGUGAACAUGUCAACAUACAUGGUGAUCUUUACAACUUAUUUAUUUUUUCUGUGGGGCUUCAAAUAUAAUAAAUUAGGAAUAAAUAAUGUGCAGUAAUCAUGUUUCUUUUCUUAUCACUAUACUUCAGUAAUGGUAUCUACACAAUGUAUACAUACUGCUAUCAUAGUGCAGUGUGAAUGAAGUGUGCUGCUUCUACUUGCAUACACUAGUAGAAAAAGGGCCUUUAGUCCCGGUUCUGGAACCGGGACUAAAGGGUCGUUACUAAAGCCUCCCCCUUUAGUCCCGGUUCUUACACGAACCGGGACUAAAGGCCCUCCACGUGGCCGCUGCCUGGAGGUCCACCUUUAGUCCCGGUUGGUAACACCAACCGGUACUAAACGAAAUUUUAUGAUUUUUUUUUGAUUUUUUUGAUUUUUUUAUUUUCAAAUUUCUGAAUUAUUUUAACCUCUAAUCUCUAAUCACCCCUCAUCACUGCUCAAUUUAACCUCUAAUCUCUAAUCACCCCUCAUCAUUCCAAAUCAUCUAACUUCCCGGACGGCCACCCAUCCUCUCACUACUCCAGCCUGAGCACGCUUAACUUCCGGGUUCUAUUCUCCCUCGUUUUCAAGUCUGCACUUGUUGUUUUUCUGACAAUAGUAAGAUGUCAAUCCUAUUAAACCCCAGGAAUUUAGCUUGAGCAUGAAGUCAGACAUUUCACUGUUUGAAUUUGAAACUAUUGUUCUAAAAAACAAUAAUUAUUUAGUAACACUAAUAUUUCUUGAAUAAGUAGUUUGACCAUAGUUUGAUCAAAUUUGACCAAAAUUCAAAAAAACUGAAAUAAUUAUUUAGUAACACUAAUAUUUCUUGAAUAAUUAGUUUGACCAUUGUUUGACCACAGUUUGACCAGAUUUGACCAAAAUUCAAAAAAACUGAAAUAAUUAUUUAGUAACACUAAUAUUCUUGAAUAAUUAUUUAGUAACACUAAUACUUCUUGAAUAAGUAGUUUGACCAGAUUUAACAAAAAUUAAAAAAAACAGAAAUUUGAGCAUAACUUUUUCUCCUUUUAGAAUUCGAGGAUUCUAAAAAUUUGCAAACAGGCCGAAGGCGGUCAAAAUCGGAUGCGGAUUUUCGUGCUGAACAUUUUGAUAUAUUAUACUUUUUUCUGACAUCGUAUGCAAAAGUUAUAGCCGUUUUACAUUUUCCCUACACUUUUUGCAAAACAUGUCCAAAUUUAAGUUUUUAAAAUUUCCUAACUAGUACAUGUAGUAACAUAACUAUAUCUGAAAGGAUUUUAAUUUUUGAAGUUUUUAUCAUUUUCUUUUGCUUUUUACAAAACUGAAAAGGCGAUCCACAGGGGGGGGAUAGAGUUUGAAAAUGGGACCUUUAGUACCGGUUCGUGCCAUGAACCGGUACUAAUGCCUCAAACCCCAUUAGUACCGGUUGGUGGCUCGAACCGGGACUAAAGGUCUAACCUUUAGUACCGGUUGGUGCCACGAACCGGUACUAAUGGGCAUCGCACCCUUUAGUCCCGGUUCAUGGCACCAACCGGGACUAAAGGUCCCAUUUGAACCGGGACUAAUGCCUGUACGGUGCCCUAGCCGCUCGAACCGGGACUAAUGCUCACAUUAGUCCCGGUUCGUAAUGCAACCGGGAUUAAUGCUCUUUUCUGGCCGAACCAAAGCCCUGUUUUCUACUAGUGAUAAAAGCUGAUAUUGACAUGCUCCUUAGCCAUGUGAUCUUCAAGGGCCUUUGGCUAUGUGUAUCACUUCACAGAUUAAAUAUGUAGCUACAAUCAUUAUUAGUUUUUUGGUUAUCUUCCUUAAAAAAAGCAGCUUAGAGACCUACUGGCUGCUCUGGAUCAAGAUUAUAAGCAGAUUUCAUAUAUUUGGACAACAGGCAGAGAUUGUGUUUCAUAUAUGCAUAUGCAUUUAUUGUAUAAUUCAGUUCCGCCACCACAUUUUUACUACCUACAUGAAUUUCCCCUAUACCAGAUAUUAACGUUUGAAAUUAGUGACAUCUACUCAAAUAAAUAUCCACAGGUUGGCAUAGACAUGUUUACAUCAUCAAUCUUUUCUUUGAGAUAUCUGGUGGCCUUUCGUGUAAGUUCAAUGUAUCCAUUUAUCAUUCCAUUGCUUUCUUGAUUCAACAAUAACAAUAAAGGACCGCUAAAUUGUACUUUGUAGAGAAAGGGAUGACGUACACCUAGGUUAUAUAGGCUAAAGAGUAUCGAUAGUCUGACCGCACAUCAUUUUUUGUACACUCAGUAAUCUUUAAUGGUUUAUUAACACUAGCUAAUCCGAAGUAGAUGUUUGUUAUUUGUUCCCUUUUCCUUACUUAUCCAUAGAAUAAUGAUCUUUAUUUUUAUCUGUUUUGUAGAACCAUCGAAUUCAAGUCAUCUUUGAGUACACGACAUCAUCUGAAGUUCGUGCCAUGAUGCUUUAGUUUCCCACAUGGGCUGAGAUUAUUCAAAUAAAAAGACGGUCUCAGGCACAAGAGCAUGAUGUGCUUGCGCCAGUUGCUUUCACACCAAGGCCACGCGGUUGAUCAUCUAAGCGCACCUAUGAAGUUGACCGACAAGGCAGUUGAACAGAGCUACUAAUUAGUAUGCCUAAUAGCUAUUGCUUUGUAGUUUGACCGCCUCUACCGUCAGUAUGCCUGGCUUUUGCUUUCUUAUUAUGUUCCCGCUAUUAGUACUUCCUCUCUCGUGUUCGUGCUCUUAGUAUUGAACUUAAUGUUGUAGUUAUUAGCUUUUGUGGUCUAAUGAACUAACUGAAUGUUUAUAAUUUCAUGAC